UGAGGAAUAUUGGUCAAUGGGCGCAAGCCUGAACCAGCCAUGCCGCGUGCAGGAAGACGGUCCUAUGGAUUGUAAACUGCGUUUAUUCGGGAAUAAACCUCUUUACGUGUAGAGAGCUGAAGGUACCGAAUGAAUAAGCACCGGCUAACUCCGUGCCAGCAGCCGCGGUAAUACGGAGGGUGCAAGCGUUAUCCGGAAUCAUUGGGUUUAAAGGGUCCGCAGGCGGUCUUAUAAGUCAGUGGUGAAAGCCUACAGCUCAACUGUAGAACUGCCAUUGAUACUGUAAGACUUGAAUUCGAUCGAAGUGGGCGGAAUAUGACAUGUAGCGGUGAAAUGCUUAGAUAUGUCAUAGAACACCGAUAGCGAAGGCAGCUCACUAGGUCUGGAUUGACGCUCAGGGACGAAAGCGUGGGGAGCAAACA
rnacentral:rRNA from 1 species